CCGGGGGAGGCAACGGGGAGAGAGUCAAAGAGAAGUCAGGACGGCCACUGCCCUGGCCUGGGAGUGACAGCACCUGGGUUCCGUCCCAACUGCCGUUAUUGCUGCCGCCACCGAGCCUCCUGUUCCUCAGCGCCCCCAUCUCUAAAAUGGGACAACAGUGCCUGCCCUACCCAUGUGCCAAGGACUCAAUGGGGGAACAGAAGUGGAGGCAUCCGUACAAUGUGAGAAACGCUGUGCGAUGUGUUUUCACUAUCAUUAUGGCUACAUUUUGCCACAGAGGCUAUAUCUCUCUCUAGAAGCUGCUGCCGGGGGUUAGCGAGCUCCUGCUUGUACCUCAGAAGGACCUACAUUAGCCCUGAGUGGGAACGCGUCACAUGGGCUGUUCAGACACUCUUCCAGAGCUAAGCUGUGUGCAGAGCCACCUGGAAAGUGACCUUCUCCGACCUCCUUUGUGGACUGAAUUUGGACAAAUGGCACAUCUGAACUAUCGCGCCACGUCACACCAGCAGGACUCCAGCUCAGUUCCUUCAGUGCCGGUGCUCUGAUUAGUCACUAAAAAUGAGCAGAAAUUUUAAAAACAAAACUUUAUAUGCUAUUGGUCAGUCUUGUAGUUCUCAUUAACUUAUAAUUGAGACAAAGGUGGAAACAUUAGGAAGGAAAAAAGAGAAGCUAUUUAAAAUGCUGUAGAGAGAUAUCAAAUGUUGCCCUGACCGGUUUGGCUCAGUGGAUGGAGCGUCGGCCUGCAGACUGAAGGGUCCCAGGUUCGAUUCCGGUCAAGGUUGUGGGCACAUCCCUGGUGGGGGGGUGUGCA